rfam:Trichosporon asahii var. asahii CBS 8904 unplaced genomic scaffold scaffold00035, whole genome shotgun sequence.
AGCGACGUAGCUCAGAUGGAAGAGCGUUGGGCUCAUACGCAAGUAUGGUGCCACCCAAAGGGCAGAAGAUCGAAACUUCUCGUCGCUA